CUCACCAAGGCAACGAUGCGUAGCCGACCUGAGAGGGUGAUCGGCCCACACUGGACUGAGACACGGCCCAGACUCCUACGGGAGGCAGCAGUAGGGAAUCUUCCGCAAUGGACGAAAGUCUGACGGAGCAACGCCGCGUGAACGAUGAAGGCUYUCGGGUCGUAAAGUUCUGUUGUCAGGGAAGAACAAGUAUCGGAGUAACUGCCGGUACCUUGACGGUACCUGACCAGAAAGCCACGGCUAACUACGUGCCAGCAGCCGCGGUAAUACGUAGGUSGCAAGCGUUGUCCGGAAUUAUUGGGCGUAAAGCGCGCGCAGGCGGUYCCUUAAGUCUGAUGUGAAAGCCCCCGGCUCAACCGGGGAGGGUCAUUGGAAACUGGGGAACUUGAGUGCAGAAGAGGAGAGCGGAAUUCCACGUGUAGCGGUGAAAUGCGUAGAGAUGUGGAGGAACACCAGUGGCGAAGGCGGCUCUCUGGUCUGUMACUGACGCUGAGGCGCGAAAGCGUGGGGAGCGAACAGGAUUAGAUACCCUGGUAGUCCACGCCGUAAACGAUGAGUGCUAAGUGUUAGAGGGUUUCCGCCCUUUAGUGCUGCAGCAAASGCAUUA
rnacentral:rRNA from 1 species